CUGUUGGCUUGAAGUGAAAAAGGCUUGAGAUCCCACCUGAUGUCUCACAAGAUUACACUAUUUUAGUUGUCCUAGGAUAGGAAUUUGGUUCCCCAAAAAUUUGAACCAAACAAUAAUUGACAGAGUUGUGAAGGGAGAUGAGAUGGAAUGCAUGAAAGCAUUUGUGAAACUUGUGAUGUGAAAAGAAUGAUCAUAAAAAUAUAUAGUAUGAAGUUGAAAUAGCCUGUGGCUGCGAAUAGAAAUCCAAAAAUGAUUGCAAGAAAUGUAUAUUUGUUGAAGCAUGUAUUUGACAAGCUAAGUCAAUG